rnacentral:rRNA from 1 species
AUUGAACGCUGGCGGCAGGCCUAACACAUGCAAGUCGAGCGGAGCGGCGGACGGGUGCGUGAGGCCUAGGAAUCUGCCUGGUCGCGGGGGAUAACGUCCGGUAACGGGAGCUAAUACCGCUUCCUUUCAGUUUAGCCUAGGUCGGAUUAGCUAGUUGGUGGGGUAAAGGCAUACCAAGGCGACGAUCCUUAGCUGGUCUGAGAGGAUGAUCAGUCACACUGGAACUGAGACACGGUCCAGACUCCUACGGGAGGCAGCAGUGGGGAAUAUUGGACAAUGGGCGAAAGCCUGAUCCAGCCAUGCCGCGUGUGUGAAGAAGGUCUUCGGAUUGUAAAGUACUUUAAGUUGGGAGGCGUUACCAACAGAAUAAGCACCGGCUAACUCCGUGCCAGCAGCCGCGGUAAUAC